CAAUGAUUUUCAUAUGACCUUUUAUUUAUGACUUUCAAACAAUUGUGUUCAGUUGAAACCUUUAUUAUUGAUCAUAAUUUGCUACAAUGAAAUCCUUCCUUUUCAUCGUGAUAAUGGUGGCCGUGAACAUCUCUCUUGGAAAUUCAUAUUUUCAACGGAUAAAAGGAGUAACGACAGAAAUAUCAUUGAAUGGCAACGACAAGAAUUUAAAGAAGAUUCGAUGUUCAAUAAAUGCAUAUUGUGAAGACUAUCAAAUGUGUUGCCGUAAUCGACAAAGUUUACGAGGUUAUGGUUGUUGUCCAGUUAGAUAUGCACAAUGCUGCAAUGGAGGAUAUUGCUGUCCACGUCCAUAUACUUGUUCACCUGUUAUUGGUUUAUGCCAGAUUCCUGUACCUCAUGCAAUGAAUUAUUGAUGGAGUGCAGUGUUGAUGAAAAGCAAAACAUCGCUGUUAAAAUUUAUGUUUGAAAGAUUAUUACUUUAAUUAUACUUAUAAUUAAAGAGUUAUUACCUAAUUAACUAAUUGAAACUUAUUUCGGCAAGCAUGUGGGUGUUACAAUCUCAUUUUCUUUAUCUAUGAAGAAUUUAUUACCAAGGGAAAUUAUAUUUUGUCCCACAAUUCAACAUCUGGAAUAUUUUUUGGUUUGAUAAUAUUAUAGAAUUUUCUGACAUAGUGGAAAAAUGAAGCAAAUUAUUGAUUUCUUUCAAUGAUCCAUUAAAAAUUACAAUUGGUUAAGUCAAAA